rnacentral:lncRNA from 1 species
AGAGGAUAAAUCUGGGCUGUGGGUGAGCUGGCUUGGAAACCUUCGGCGGGGGUGGCAGUAUCGACCUGCAUUGUAAUGGGGCCGUGAGGGCGCAGGAGGGAUGGAGGGCACCCCAGUGCGGGCAAGGCCGGUGCUGCGGCCUGGAGGCAGGAACUGGAGAGCAAACAGAGUCUUUGGGCUGCAGAGGCGUGGCCAAGAAUUCCUAAAGAAUGGAGGGUUCUGAAUAUGUGGCUGCCAUUGCUGCUGGGCACAUCACAUGUACAACAAUCAGUCCUGGACUAAAAACCACGGAAAUAUGAACUUACUGGUAUAGCUCUCCAUCUCCCCUUCUUCAGGAGAUGCAAUCACCAACCUCCCUGAACCAGACCAAGCCUAACCAAAGAGCUACACCUAUGACCUCUGCCUUACUUUUAACGCUAAGAUCUCUCUAGGAGGAACUUAGGCCUUAUUGCCAUCACCUGCAGUGUGUGUGGAAGCAUGUUUUCCAGCUGAGCCUGCGCAAGCCAAUACCCA